CCUGGUUGAUCCUGCCAGUAGUGAUAUGCUUGUCUCAAAGAUUAAGCCAUGCAAGUCUAAGUAUAAAUCGUUUUUACUGAUGAAACUGCGAACGGCUCAUUAAAUCAGUUAUAGUUUAUUUGAUGGUACUGGGACUUGUCCCAACUACAUGGAUAACUGUAGUAACCUAGAGCUAAUACAUGCAAAUCAACCUGACUUUAUGGAAGGGUUGGCACUUAUUAGAUAUCAAACCAAUACCUUCGGGUUUCUUUGGUGAAUCAUAAUAACUGAACAGAUCGCAUGGUCUUGUACCGGCGACGUUUCAUUCAUAUUUCUGCCCUAUCAACUAGAUGUUAGUAUAUAGGACUAACAUGGUUUUAACGGGUGACGGGGAAUUGGGGUUCGAUUCCGGAGAAGGAGCAUGAGAAACGGCUACUACUUCUAAGGAAAGCAGCAGGCGCGCAAAUUAUUCAAUGGAAACAACUUUCCAAAAUAGUGACAAAAAAUAACAAUGCGUUGCACUAUGUGUGAUGCAAUUGGAAUGAGUACAACUUAAAACCCUUAACGAGUAACAAUUAGGGGGCAAGUCUGGUGCCAGCAGCCGCGGUAAUUCCAGCUCUAAUAGCGUAUAUUAAUGUUGUUGCAGUUAAAAAGCUCGUAGUUGAAACUUGAAUACUUAAUAAGUUUGGUCCAUAUUUUAUAUGUGACUACUUGUUGGUAUUCUUCCUACUAGUAACUCGAUUCUGUUCUUAAUUGAAUGGAAUAGCAGUUCUUCGGAGCUGUCGAUCUAUAUUUUUGGCUCCUCCAUAGUGUGGAUUGGUGUAAAAGCCUUGAAGUGUUGUGAGUGGAUCAAGUUAAAGAUGUAAAUUGGAGUUCUAGUUCAUUUACUUUGAGAAAAUUAGAGUGUUUAAAGCAGCCUCUUGGGGCUCUGAAUACAUUAGCAUGGGAUAAUAGAAUAGGAUUUGAAUAAUAUAUUUGUUGGUUUGAAUUGUUUAAAUAAUGAUUAAUAGGGACAGUUGGGGGUAUUUAUAUUGGAUGGUUAGCGGUGAAAUGCAUGGAUCCAUUCAAGAUAAACUAAAGCGAAAGCAUUUACCAAGGAUGUUUUCAUUAAUCAAGAACGAAAGUUAAGGGAUCGAAGAUGAUCAGAUACCGUCGUAGUCUUAACUAUAAACUAUGCCGACCAGGGAUAUGAGUUGUUAUGAAUGCUCUUUUGGGUAUUCGAUUUCCUCUUGUGGACCUUGUGAGAGAUCAUAAGUUUUUGGGUUCUGGGGGGAGUAUGGUCGCAAGGCUGAAACUUAAAGGAAUUGACGGAGGGGCACCACCAGGAGUGGAGCGUGCGGCUUAAUUUGACCCAACACGGGAAAACUUACCAGGUCCAGACAUUAGAAGGAUUGACAGAUUGAUAGCUCUUUCAUGAUUUAAUGGGUGGUGGUGCAUGGCCGUUCUUAGUUGGUGGAGUGAUUUGUCUGGUUAUUCCGAUAACGAACGAGACCUUUACCAUACUAAAUAGUUUUGCUU
rnacentral:rRNA from 1 species